CAGAGCCGCGGUAAAACGGAGGGUGCAAGCGUUAAUCGGAAUUACUGGGCGUAAAGCGCACGCAGGCGGUCUGACAAGUCAGAUGUGAAAUCCCCGGGCUUAACCUGGGAACUGCAUUUGAAACUGUCAGGCUGGAGUCUUGUAGAGGGGGGUGGAAUUCCAGGUGUAGCGGUGAAAUGCGUAGAGAUCUGGAGGAAUACCGGUGGCGAAGGCGGCCCCCUGGACAAAGACUGACGCUCAGGUGCGAAAGCGUGGGGAGCAAACAGGAUUAGAUACCCCUGUAGUCCCUGUCUCUUAUACA
rnacentral:rRNA from 1 species